UAUCCAGAUAUGUCAAUGCCUCACAGCUGUGAAGCUGCCACUCCCUCCCAAACUCAUGGCACAGCACCCAGCCAUUCGGAAGAUUUGAGGCACAAACAUCAUCCAUUCAAAAACAUCUGGAAUGUCCUGGAGGAACACAAGAAGACCCUUUUGAGGAUAACAGAAUUCAUAAAGUACAUGCCAUGGAAGAGCACAUGGGGCCAAUGACAAGGAAGAUGGAGGUUAUGGAGAGGAAGUCCAUGACUUUGAAGGCUGCCAUGGCUUUGAACAUGCCAC